GGGAUGCGAAGCCCUCUCCAUCAUCUGCUGCUCUUUGAUUCGAUCCAUCCUUUUUAUUCUCUUGUUCUCAUCUAUUUUUCCUUGAGUUUGUAGUUCGAUUUUGAUCUGCGAUCAUUCUAGUUCUUCGGUUUCUGCUUCGGACCAAGGAUUUCCCCAUUUUUUGAGGGUUUCGAUCGUCUGCCGCUGGAUCCGGCGGUUGAAUGAUCGAUUUCCGGAUUUUGAUGACGCCCUCUGAAGUCGCAUGCGUGGUUGACAACGAGAGAGAGCACGCCGGUCCGCAAUCAUGCGGGCGGCCAUGGUUGUGUGUACCAGCGUGCUCUUUCUCGUCGUCACCUGGCUCGCUCGCCCUCGCGACGAAGCGUGUUCUGUGUCUAGAAGCCCUCUAGGUUAGUUCUUAUCACUUCGAUCCUUGGUUGUUCACUAGAAUCGGUUUGCUUUCAGUUUGAUUUAGGCGAAGUUGAGAACUUACAUGCUGCUGCUUUAUGCUUCUUCUUAUGCUCGCAUACAUUCUAUGUUGAAGCUAGUAGAUAUCUUGAUGAAUCGUUUGAGCUUCAUUCUUUCUCUAGAAAAGGUGCGAUUUUCUUCACUCUAUUACUAGUGAAUGCUCUACUUUAUAGUUCUAUAGAUACAAUGUAGCUGAAUGAAAGCAUGAUUAACUGACCUGGUGCCCAACGACGUUGAUGCUUAUUUCCAAUUAGUGUACAAGUUGUAGCGAAGAUCCAUCUGUCAUGUUUCCGGUUUUGGAACCAAGAGAAGAUAUGCAAAUGAAUUGGAUGAGGUGAACAUAGCGUCAGGAAUAUCCAAGGCACAUAAACUUAUCAAUAAAAUUUCGAAUUCUAUGUUCUUUAACAUACGGGAGAGUCCCCAUCUUUACCAACUUUUUCUUUGUGCUGCACUUUAAUGGUGUUUGUCCUAGUAACGGAUUAAUGACACUGCAGUAACAGAAUAGUCUCCAAUUCAUGUUGUUGUGUUAUAGCUGUUAAUACUGUUGCGCUAGUUUGGGUUUAAAAGAUUGUAUUGGCAAUUUUAAUGUUUCGUUGAUUCGAUUUCAUGGUAAUGAAGUUUCGUCCUGCCUCGUAUUUCUCCUUGAAUUUGAAGUCGAAUGAGUUUCUUUUGGUUCUAGAUUUGUCUGAGAUUCUUCCCUAUUGCAUACGACAACUGUGAACCAUACAUAUGCCUCUAUUCCUGUUGGAUGAAUAAGCUUGAAGGCAUUGUGCCUGCAACUUGUCUUGUGUAUACACAUCGCAGGAAGGAUGUAAUUUGUAUUCUGCAAAAAAGUACACACAGCUUGAAACUUCCAAGGAUUGAGGCUCUUUUGAAUUUGUAUUUUUCUCAUAUACUUCAAUUAUAUAAAUUGACUAUUUCAUUUUUACGAUUCAUUUCCUAGCCUUUUUAACCUAUGCCUUGUCUGUUUGUUUUAGUAUGUUGAAGAGGUAAGUCAGAAUGUCACUUAUACAGUGGUAAAAUGGUACACUGUCGGCAUCAUUAUUUAGCCAACUUUUUGUGUCUUGGCGUUUUAUUCGUAGGCUGAUCUAUUGUGGCUUGGCUUCUUCUCUACAAGCUGGACUUUUUCUCCACUAUAACGUAAUCACUGCUGUUGGUUUGAGUGAGUUCAUUUUUUUUUCAAGGGAAAAAAUGUUUAUUCCUGUUGGAAUGUGUGGAUCAUCUUAUUUGUUGCACAAACUAUUUUUAUACAGUUUCUUUUGGAGGAUUGUAGAGAAUAAGAGUAUCACCUGACAUUUAUGAUUGACUGGACUUUAUUCUAUGUGUCUGUCUCAUACAUCUGAUAUUUCUCUGAAGGACUACAUUGUUUGAUUUAGACACUGUAGGAGUAAAAAUUUAGUCUCUAGAUACAUCUUAAUGGUUGAUACCUAAGUAUAUGUUAUUGUUGUUGAAUUAAGCAAUUAUGCUUGACUGAUUUGAAUUGUAAAUUCUGUUUGUAGUAAUUAUAUUAACUUGACAUAAGCAUGCAAUGAUUUAUACCAAAUGACAAGAAAAAAAUAUCACCGAGAUGGAUGUACAACUCUUGUAAAAGGUUCUGUAAACUAAAUAAGAUAAGACAUUCUAGACUAAUAUGGGUUGCCUGCGAAGCAACUCAGCCUGUGAUAUAAUCAUGGCAGCUUUGAGUACAUGUUUCAAGAAUAAGAGUAUAUCUGUUUAUGGUAUUGAAAAGUAGUUGAUCUUUACCAUGUAUGAUAAUGAAAUCGUUUAGUUUGUUUUGAAUAAUACCUGACUGCUCAACAUGGACUUAUUUUUAUCUUUACAUAAUAAAGCAAAGGAGAAACAAAUAAAGUGUUUAAUUCAAUGGAGCCAGUUGAGAUUUAUAGGAAAACAAAUUAACAUGCCUAUUAUAGUUAGUUAUCUUUCUAAAUAUUGGAACUCAACAUAUGAGGAUUUAAAUUUAGAUAUGUUGAUGGUUAAUUUACAAUCCAAUUUAUUAAGUACGGUAGUAAAUAUUAUAUUAAGUUAGACUUUCAUGGUUAUGGUUUUAUGAUAAAGAGUGUAUCCAGUGCAUGAGGCUCCCCGCUAAUACGGGGUCUAGAGAGGGUCAAUGUAUCUAGUCUUACCUUUAAAUAUUUAAAAAAAUUAUUUCUGUGACUCGAACCUUGAUCUUCCGGAUUGCAAGAGAGCAUUCUUACCAUAUGUUUGGGGAGGACUAUAAUUUUAUGAUAAUAACAAAAUUAUUCAUUUUGGGUGAGAUAGCAAAUUACAUGUGAGUACAGUAUGAUGUUUUAACAUAGUCUAUUUGAUGGAUUAGUGAAAUUUGAAAGACUUGCGUAGUUGAAUGUGUAGAACCAGUUGCAUGUUUAAAAUUAUAAUAAUCAUGCAAAAACUUCAAGAACAUGAGGUGAAUUCUACCAAAAAUACAUGUUCCAGAAAUAAAAGGUAUCCCAUUAAAUAGUAUUAUCAUCCAUCAGUGAGUCUUAAUGUCCAUUAAAUGCAACAGGAGGCACCAGAAGAAAUUCUGUAUUUAUGCUAUAUUUUGUGAUAAAGAUUUGAGAUAAUUGUUGCUUUAAUGUGGCUUGAUUUUUGUUGGUAAUUACUAAAGAUUAAUAUAAGAUUGUUUUAUAGUCUCUGCGUCAAAGAUCAAAACGUUAAAAGUAGUCAUUAUUAUCAUAGACAGUUUUAAGUUCUGUUUCUGAAGUAAAUGAUCUUCAAAGAAACAUCCUCAAUGGAUGACAUUGGUUAACAUGAAUUUUCCCUAACCUGAAACUCCUAAUACUAAAACUACAUAGCAGGGAGAUGUAUGUUGCAUUGGCAACAAGAAAUGCAGUGGUUACUUAUGUUGAAAAGAAAGUAUGAUUUCCAAAUGUGUCAUGCAAAUGCAGAAUAUGAUUGAGUGAGAUAUCAAAAGUGGAUUUCUGCAUGGAAUUCUUAAAUUUGUUAUUUACAAGGUUCUCAAAAUUUCUGAGGUGGAUAGCUUUAUAAUAAUAUCAUCUUGUAUGUUAAAAAAUAGAGUUAAUGCAUGCAACUUCUACAUGACAAAAAUUUGAAUCUUGACCUUUUUCCAUUUAUAGAUUGAAGGAAAGAAGAGAGAGAGAGUUGUGUUAAAUCUAUCAUGCCGGUAGAAUGUAAUCAAUAAAUUUUCAUCUUCUGGGCAAGCCAGCACAUUGUCUUGCUACCUGGGCAAGAACUUCAUCUUCUGACUGUUUUUGGGAAAAGGAUCUAGAGAUGAGACACCCUAUUACGAGUUCCUGUAAAGAAGGUGGCCUUUCUCAACGACAACAACUAGUAAAAGUGAAUGAAAAGAACGGAGACUAUGUUUCCCUGAGAUCACAGGAAUAGGUAAUGGCUUAUGUUCUCAGCAUAACAGGGAAUAAGUUUUCGUCAGUACAAAGCAUGGAGGCGGCGUGCCAUCUUCGCUGUGCCUAAUGAUUAGGGUCAGAGAUUGUUAUUGACUUUUUUUUUCCUAAUAUUAGUAAUCCCUUGUUUCAUCCAAUUAUCUAAAAAUAAUAAAAUAUAAUUUUAUUAAAUACAAUCCUUUAAAUAUCCACCAUAUUCUAAACCCUGUUUGGAAGGAGUUGAAAGAGGUUGGGAAUUAGGUGAUAAGUUGAAGACAUUUACAUAUGAGCAUCUUAGGAAUAUUAAAUUUUUAUGAUUAGGUUUUCAUAAAUUAUUUUAAAUUAAGGUUUAGAAUUUUGAUAAACCAACAUAUUGAUUUAAAUAUUGAAACCUUCCACAAAUGUUGUUUGUCAUGAUUGCAUUAGCUUUUUUGAGUUAAAAGAAAAGCAUGUUGUGGGUCAGUGCUAACUAGUGGAGAUGUGCGGGUUUCCACUGGAAAACCACGCAAUGUGGAAUUGUUAUGAUCAUUAUGUAGGUUCUGAACCUACAUGACCUUUUUACUUGCAACUCUUCUGACCUACCACCCUAUGAACAUGAGACUUCAAAUAUUUGAUGUUUAUGAUUUAUGAAAUUUAAAAUGCUACAUAUCAUAAUCAAUAGAGGAUAAGUUGUAUUUCCAUCUCAGAUUGGUCCUGGUGACCAACUCAAAAGCAUACAAGUAUACAACUGCAUUUUAAGUAAUAUUUAGCGAACAAGAUUAGAGUAAAAUAAUUGACAGCCCUGAGAUAAAAAUAGGUAAAAUAUUUCUAGGUAAAAUAAUUGUGAAAGGAAGCUUUCACAAUGCUUCCUUUGUGAAGUUUCUUAAUCAGCACCAAUAAGUCCAGCCCACAAAUGUUGCUUGAUCACCAGCCAGAAUUGAGAAACAUAAGGCUAGAAGAGAGGUUAUUUUUCUACCAUAGGAUAUAAGGAAUGCAAGUAUUACUGCUAUGUCUUAAAGACUAAGAUCUAGAGAACCGAGACAUUUAGAAAUCUUUGGUGACACCAAAAGGGGGCAGUAAUUAAAGGAAUAUACUAACAAUAUGGACAAAAGUUUUCUUUCUAAUGGUGUAGAGUUAAUAGUGGAUUCAAAGAAUAACCAGCCAACCUCACACCAGAGUCAAAGUCAUUGACGAGUUGAAGUAGCAUAACGGAUCAAAGGUUCGAUAACUCAAAAACAGCAGCGGAGAGCAGUUGGGAGCCAAGAGACGCAUUGCAGCUAGAGCAAAAGAUUGAAGACUCAACAAAGGCAAGGAGUUGUAAUGUCGAUAAAGGCUUCAACGAGAAUGUCGAAUGAAUAAGUGGGGGAGAAUGUCACGGACAAACUUCUAAACAAGAUGUUUGAUGUAAUGCUUAUGUAUGUCCUUGUCUUUUGGUAUGUUCAUGUUCUGCAUAGCAUGUAGAGGGACGAUAGAAGGCUUAAUAGUUCCAUUUUGGUUAGGUUAGUGGCCGCUUUAGGCUUGUAAAUAAAGGUUGUAUCAUGUGGACACUUGUGAGAGAUUUUCGGUCUGUAAUAGACCAUUUUGACCCAUUGUUGUGCAA